AUGUAUCUGUAUAUGUAUUUAUGUAUAUUUCCUUAUAUAACCCAAAAGUAUAUCAUAUUAAGAUAUUUUUAUAUUUCUGUUUACAAUAAUUAAAGGCAGGUCCGUCCCUUGGGUAGGGUGAACUGGCUUAAGCACCCCAGAACCCAGAGUCAUGGUCAACCUUACUCAACACCCAGACUCUUGACAAUGAGGUCGUUCUUGGUUGUGCUCCAGUCAAAAGGACGUUGACAUUUGUCGUUGAAACUUUGGAAUCUCCGUUUAUCUGGGUUUUGUUUGAUGCGUGUUCUUUGUUUUGUGUUUAAUGUAUACAACCCAUUAUUUAUUAUACCAUGGCUAGCAGGGACAGGCAAAUAGAGAAAAUGCAGCUCAGUGGGCAGAGAAAAGUCCAUUAAAAAAGGAAUUGUAGCCAGAUGUGGUCACCGAACACAAUUUAGGACUGAUAUAAAAGUUUCUGCAGAAGUAUAGACACUGGAUUUACCUCCACCAAGAUGAUAAAAACAGUAUCCGAGAUGGAUGUAGAACUUGAAUCCAAAGAUCGACGAGUGAUGAGUAAACGAUGACGACUUCCAUCUAUAAGUGAGGAUGCUGAGCCACAAAUCUUGGUGAGGAAAGAUUUGAGAGGAAUAACUAUCUGGUUAUCAUGGAUCAGACACUCGUGCUACUGACAGUACAUGCAAGAGAACGCUGGUAAUUUAAGCUUCCUGUAUGAAUUGAAGAAACUUAGAGAAAUUACAGAGAAUGACUUGAAAUGCAGUUUAUGGCUUUGGACAACUCAUUGAGUGUUGGAGAUUCCCACGACAUUGAUGGUGCAGAUAUAUUUCCUUAAGCUUUGUGUUCUCUAAGGAUUCAUUCCCUAAGGAUAAACAAAACCUGCACUUGAAGAUCCUCAGUUUCUUAUGUGUUUUAAUGCUUCUUUCCUAAACACAGAAAUAGCUGUAAGAUGCUGCUGACAAUUCCAGACACUGGCAUCGGGAAGCCAAGUUUUUCCCUAACUUGGAUUAAUGGAAAAGGUUACCCGGCCUAUAGGGAGAACUACUGCAUGUCUCGGUAGAGGUUGAAAGGCUUGGCUCUCUUCUACAUUAAAAAGGAAUUGGCAAAAAAUUUGGAUCAUCAUUAUGUGAGAGCAGAAUUUGGUCAGAGAAAGAGAGGAAGGUGAAUCAGAAAGUAGGCAACUGUGAGCACUGCUUAGUUUAAACAUGAAACUAAACCUUCUUGUUCAUAUCUAUGAGACUUUAUGGAUAUAAAGUUCACCAAAUUGUCUUAAACACAAGUUCAGAAAAGUAAGAUAAAAAUAUUUAUUUUCCUUAAGAAUAAAAGGUAAUAAAUUACAUAACACAAUGGCAGUCUAAUUUAGUGGUUAUACCCUGUAAUAAGUACAGUGUGUAAGUAAGCAUAAAAAAGGGAAAAAAUAAGCUUUUUUUAUUUCCAUGAAUUAAUGUUAUUCAUGGAAUGCAACUUUUUCUAUUAUAUAAAAUAUAUAAACAUUAGCUAUACAUAAUGCAUAUAAAUGUGUAUUCUUAUACAGUAUAAUUUUUCAAGAAAGUAAAGGAGGUUGACCUGGUAAUACUGACCAAAGGAUGAACCAAUCAAAUCAACCCCCCCAUCAUGACAGACCACCUUCUCUUGCUCUGGUCAAGCUGAAUAUUUAGGCUUUAAUCAACAGUGAAGAUAUUACCUUUAGAGAAAAUGUUCUUAAUAUGAGGGACAUUUUUCUCUCCAGUUUGUAUUGCUUAGGUUGUAAAAGGACUUGUGUAUCAUCACUUAUAAGAGGGUCAUGGCCGGCAUAUAGGACAAGGGGGUGAGGGUGUUACUGUGGGUAGUUUAGUUAUUACUGCCUAGUUUUAGCUUGGUCUUGAGGGAACAUAUAAUACAUCAGUCAAAAAUGUGGCUAUUUGUUGUGAAGAAGUGGAGUAUGGCACCUUGUGUGUGGGUGUUUGUCCUUCAGUCUUGCUCUCUUGCCAUAUAUAGUUUAUAUUUUCAUGGCUGUGACCUAAACUGUUUAUUUUCUGAGUAAAUUCGUGUAUUUGGUCGGUUAAGCCUCCGUGAAUUAUGGACUUGGUCUAUAAUUAAAAUAUGGGAAGGUGAAAACUUAGUAGAAUUUAGCUCUUCUAAAGCCCAGGACCCCUCCAUUACCUUAAGUCAGAAGUACUGUACGUACUUACUCUUGUACUGGUGCUGUAUACUUGGACUUAAUUAUGGAUUUUAAAUUUAUGGGAGUAAAAAAAAAUUGCACCUUUACUGUAUUUAGGAAUUUUUCCCCCUUUUUAUAAGAUUUUUUAAAAUUGUACUGUACUUAAUUUUAUUUGGUAGGAGACAUUUAAUUAGCCAGUAUUGUAUAUCUGAAGAAUAUGAACAUUACUCAUGUUUCAAGCUGUUUGUAAUGAAUUUGUUUACAAGCCAGCGGCAUAUCUCGAAUCCAGCUCUACACUUCAACAGAACUCUCCAGUAGUUUCUUGCAUCAUCCAAGUGAUUUACCCUAUUUAGAGAUGUUAGGCAAGUGGUCAGCAGGAGUCAUGGUCAGCAGCAGUACCUCUAGUGGAAAAAGACCCCACAAAGCCACCAAUUGAAAAGUUAAGUAAGAGUGAUAGUGACUCGGUGUGUGAACGCUGCCCCAACCCUGAGAGUUUUAACUGAUGACUAUUGCCGGUACUGUAGAGAGCCAUAGUGAGCCACGUAGCAUAUACUGUACCUGGUAAUAUGAAAGAUGAAAAUUAACAGAUUAAUUUCAUGAAGACAAGGAAGCGAAAUUAAGUGCAGUAGAGGACAUUAAAUUCUUGUAAGAUGAACAUUAAUACGAUGAAGCGAAUAAGAUUAACUUGAUACUGAUCCAGCGAACCUUCUUGCUGUGCUGGGCUAGAAACCUCGUGCGGCAGCCAUAAGAAACCUGCAGAUACUUAAAACUGGACACCUGUACUUUAGUUGGUAAAUGGUGUAUAAUACUGUAUAUAAAAUAUGGAUGGUGAGAUGUCUGUAUACUGCUCAACACCAAGGUGGUUUAUUUAGUGUUGUCUACUUGGUCUACAUUUUCAUUUUAUUAUGCCUGCAAAAUAUUUAAGUUGUGUUGUAAAGUGCCAUUUAAUUAUUUAUUGAACUUUUUCUUUUAUUUUAUUUUCAUGAAUUUUUCUCUCAAUUUAAAGAGGUAAUCAUUCAUUUUAUAAUCAGUGGAUAAUAUAAUUCAGUUAAUCAUACAGUACAGUAGUUCAGUUUAGGAUAAGUUUUUCAGGAGUACAACCCUAUACUAAAUCAUGGUAUAUUGUUUGAUAAUGAUACACCUGCUUUUAUUGAUCUUAAUAUGCUUAGUUUAGUUAUAAAGGACUUGUCAUUGGUCACCCACAUUAAUCUCUUUGCUGUAUUGUGUUUGUUCAUUGAAAAUUAUGAUGUUUUUGUCACCCAACCUUCACAUUUUAUUUCUGUUCUCUUGUCAAAGUACAAAGUUGUCAGAUGUGACCUGAAUCCCCAGCUGUUCUGGUACUGGCUUUCCUCUCUAACAAAUAAAUUUACCCUAUUUAUAUGCCUUGAGAUGUCUCUUUGUGUCCCUUAUACCCCAACACCUCUUCCUUGAUCUAAAUGAAGUAGCCUUUGAUUUCUUUCCCCAGAAGAGCUCAUUUACAACCAACCAGGCUCCCCUCUCCAGACCCAGCACAGUAUUCUCACCAAGACACAUUUACAAAAAGGGUUUUAGGCAGGAGUCUUGCCUAUAGGUCAAGCCAUUCUGUG